AAGGCUUUAAGUUAAAAAAACUAAUAGCCUUCAAAGCUGUAAAUAUAGGAAUUGCCUUUAAGCCUUA
rnacentral:tRNA from 1 species